CAGGGAUGAUGGGAAGCCUGUUCUUGUUUAUCGGUUUGUACGGAACUUCACCCGCGGUAGAGUACGGCCUGAGAAUUUUGUUCCAGCACCGGUGUGAGGUUUGGAGUGCAUAAUGAGGAGAAAUAAAAACAGAAAGAUCUCCAGAAAGAAGCCAUGGUAAGAUUCAAGGUUUCACAGUCCAAGCUAAUGCCUGUGGACACUUGACCAAGUGAUCUGAGAAAAUUGGAUUUCUGGCAAAACAAGUGUACCUAGACUCAGGCAAGGGUGGAGAACAGAGGGCGACUAGAUUAAAUGGAAAGAAUGCCCAGGCAUCCCAUUGCCUCCCUUUGACGUUCCAGAACUUCAUCAAGACAGUGAUGAGCUACAUGUACACCUGGAGGAGAGUUCAGGAUCAAGCUCAGAAGCGCACAGCUGCCAGCAAGCAGUCUACUACUGAACUGCACCAUCUCUCCAGCCUGUGCUUACUCUUGAAUAGCCCCAAAGUAGUCAAUGGUAUGGCAAAAUAAACCUCCAUUUCAUUUAGAUUUUUAUAGUAUUUUUUGCCACUUAAAUUAUUUUAUGUAGUUGAGUAUGAUUUUUUUUCCCCCUAAGGAAUUCUAUGUAUCUCAAUUUCAAGAGUCUUCAGCCUUUAUGUUAUACAUAAUUUCCUAUAGAUUUCAAAGUUGCUUUAAUAAAAAGUUUAAUGUUAAAACA
rnacentral:lncRNA from 1 species